rnacentral:rRNA from 1 species
GACGAACGCUGGCGGCGUGCUUAACACAUGCAAGUCGAACGGAAAGGCCCUGCUUUUGUGGGGUGCUCGAGUGGCGAACGGGUGAGUAACACGUGAGUAACCUGCCCUUGACUUUGGGAUAACUUCAGGAAACUGGGGCUAAUACCGGAUAGGAGCUCCUGCUGCAUGGUGGGGGUUGGAAAGUUUCGGCGGUUGGGGAUGGACUCGCGGCUUAUCAGCUUGUUGGUGGGGUAGUGGCUUACCAAGGCUUUGACGGGUAGCCGGCCUGAGAGGGUGACCGGCCACAUUGGGACUGAGAUACGGCCCAGACUCCUACGGGAGGCAGCAGUGGGGAAUAUUGCACAAUGGGCGGAAGCCUGAUGCAGCAACGCCGCGUGCGGGAUGACGGCCUUCGGGUUGUAAACCGCUUUCGCCUGUGACGAAGCGUGAGUGACGGUAAUGGGUAAAGAAGCACCGGCUAACUACGUGCCAGCAGCCGCGGUGAUACGUAGGGUGCGAGCGUUGUCCGGAUUUAUUGGGCGUAAAGGGCUCGUAGGUGGUUGAUCGCGUCGGAAGUGUAAUCUUGGGGCUUAACCCUGAGCGUGCUUUCGAUACGGGUUGACUUGAGGAAGGUAGGGGAGAAUGGAAUUCCUGGUGGAGCGGUGGAAUGCGCAGAUAUCAGGAGGAACACCAGUGGCGAAGGCGGUUCUCUGGGCCUUUCCUGACGCUGAGGAGCGAAAGCGUGGGGAGCGAACAGGCUUAGAUACCCUGGUAGUCCACGCUGUAAACGGUGGGUACUAGGUGUGGGGUCCAUUCCACGGGUUCCGUGCCGUAGCUAACGCUUUAAGUACCCCGCCUGGGGAGUACGGCCGCAAGGCUAAAACUCAAAGGAAUUGACGGGGCCCCGCACAAGCGGCGGAGCAUGCGGAUUAAUUCGAUGCAACGCGUAGAACCUUACCUGGGUUUGACAUGGAUCGGGAGUGCUCAGAGAUGGGUGUGCCUCUUUUGGGGUCGGUUCACAGGUGGUGCAUGGCUGUCGUCAGCUCGUGUCGUGAGAUGUUGGGUUAAGUCCCGCAACGAGCGCAACCCUUGUUCACUGUUGCCAGCACGUUAUGGUGGGGACUCAGUGGAGACCGCCGGGGUCAACUCGGAGGAAGGUGGGGAUGACGUCAAGUCGUCAUGCCCCUUAUGUCCAGGGCUUCACGCAUGCUACAAUGGCUGGUACAGAGAGUGGCGAGCCUGUGAGGGUGAGCGAAUCUCGGAAAGCCGGUCUCAGUUCGGAUUGGGGUCUGCAACUCGACCUCAUGAAGUCGGAGUCGCUAGUAAUCGCAGAUCAGCAACACUGCGGUGAAUACGUUCCCGGG